AUCCAGUGACAGGGCAAUGCUGUCCUCACCCAGGUAGUCUAAGACGAGAAAAUCAAGGUUCAGAGAGGAUACUGUCCUGCCCAGGUCCCUGUCCACACCUCCACCUGAAGCCCUGGUUUCUGCACACAAGAGGAACUGACACUGUGAUGAGGACUGAGAUGGGCUGAGAGUCUCCAGGCAGCCUUGACACAGGAUAUUCGGGGCAGAGAACAAGACUCACCUGCUGUGGAGCCGAGUAUUGAAGAUGGUACUUCCGGGCUCCCAGCAUUCCCUGAUAUCAGAUGCUCACAGAGGUACCCCAUGGAAGCACAGAGCCUGACUUGGCUCAGAGUGUGGGCCUGGGGAGGGUCCCUUCAAAGAAUAGAGUCUGGGCUAAGGCCCUUCACCUCCCGCAUCAUUCCAAGGUAUUUUCUCAUCCUCAUGCUCAAACUAAUCCUCUGUUCCCCCAACUGAGACUCAGGAGCUGACGCUUGGGCAGGAUAUAGUGUGCUUGGGAGGGCUCCCCUGCAGGUCCUUGCAGACUCAGCCCUGAAGAGAGUUUCUUGUCCUUUCAGAGGUUCCAUCUGAUGCCUCAGCACAUCCCUUAUCUCCACCAUAGCCUAGUCCCCUGCACCUCCCCAUCCUGACCUAGGCAGAGCAAAAUAGGCACCAAAAGUGGUGUGUCACCUCCUCUGACUAUACCAGUUCUGACAGAGGAGAGGGCUGCAGGACACUCAGAUGAAUGGAAGUGGAAAGUCAGAGCUGCUGCCUCUGGUCCCCACCUCUGUGGACCCAAAGGAGAUAGAAAGCUUCUCCCUAGGCUGGGCUCUGGCUUCUGCAGGUUCAGGAUCCAAAGCUCUGUGGAGAAAUAUCAUGCAGCCUAGCUCUGAGUUUUUCUUUAGUCCCAGACCUUCCCACGUGGCAAGAGCCCUCUUGUUAAAGGGAGCACCCAGGCUCUGUCCUUCUGGCUUCAGAAGAUGGACUCCAAUCAGGACACUCACUUUCUGAGAGCCUCCUCUGUACUGUCACUCCUGGAUCAUUUUUAAAUGAGUGUUUAUUUAGGAGAGUUUUCCCAGACUCUAGAAAUACUUUGUGGUCUAGAGGAGCACAUGGCCUGUGUGCUGAGAGGGAAAUCAUCAGUGGGGACCUCGCAACUGAUCACUCAUCCUGCAGGAACAGGAGGUGGAAGGGACCUCUCCCCUAAUCAGGUUUGCCCCUCUCUAUAGUGACUGUCUCCAGGAUUCCCCUACUGUAAUCACACACUGACUGGCCCAGCAGCUGACAUAAGCGUGUGCUGCUUCCUGAGCUUUGACUCCCAUUUUAUGGUUUUUGUUCUAAGGACUUGAAGGAAACUCCUGUCUUCUGCUCCAGAAAGAGUCAUAGCAGCUGUCCCCACACCUGUGCUGUGGGCUGACAGCUCAGCUGUGCUUCACAGUCCCCAGGGCCUGGGAAAAGUGUGGCCCUGCAUGAAUAGGAGGAGGCAGGUGGAGCCUCACGUGCAGGUCUUUGCUUUCCAUGUGUGCCUUACCAUCAGGAUGUUCACCUGUGUGUGAGGACAGUGACAGUCAGUGCUUGGACACCUAGGGAAAACGGCUGCUCCUGCUGUUCCCUGACAUGCUCUCUCCAGCACUGAGGGCUCAUCUGGGGCUACAGAGGCUCUGCCUGCCCAGGGGACUGUGAUGGAUGGAAGGGGAAGUAGAAGGGAUUCAGAGAUUCACCACAGCUUACAGAGCACCAUAUUCCAAGUCACAGGGAGCAAGGAGCCUGUCCUUGCCCUGCGUGAAGAAAGCACUGUGAAAGGUGACAGUGGUGAGAGAACACUGAGUGGUGAGGCUCCACCUGAGCCUCCCCUGCAGAGUCACUGUCCUCAGUGUGUGCAGAGCUUCUGAGCACAUGGACAGUGGCAAGAGCUGGUGGGAGCUCCUGGUUUGUGAGAUCUCACGUGUACCUGGGGUAUGAUUGGUGACUGAUCUCUGAUAAGAGAAUCAGGGUCUUUACACCAGGAAGUGCAGGGACACAGUGGGUCCAUGGUCCCUGUGUGCAUGUCUGAACUUCACAUGCUCCAGAGCUGCCAGAAGCCCUGGCAGAGGUGACCUGUGGCCAUAGCAGUGUGACCAGAGCACAGGGAAGCAGAGGAUGAGCCUGAUGUGGGAGCAGCACCUCCCAUGGAUGGAUCAGGAAUAGUCUGGAGUCACAGGACCUAUGGGCACCACUGGGAGUGACUGUGGAAUUGGUCUAGGAGUGGAAUCUGGAAAAGUGUGGAGGGGUGGGCAGGAGACAUCCUAGAGUGCUGGUGGAGGAACUCGGGUUCUGGUGAAAGCUUAGAGCAUCAAAACCCAGACAGAAGUGGAGACAGUGAAUGUUGUGCUCAGAAGGCUUCAGACGGAAAUAAGCACUGUCUCCGGAAGUGCAACAAAGACUGCUUUUUAAUAGUUUGGAGGAGCUGUUGUCUUUUAGCUAACUAAAAUGUAAACAUCUCAUAUCAUCCGUGAACUGAAAGCACUGGAGAAAUACUAAGAAAAAUUUAUAAGGGAUCAGAAGACCAUACUAGGAAACUGAUGGAAAAUAACAAACAGAGAACACUGAAACAGACUGUGAAGAGAAUUCCCUCCACAGGUAGAUUUGACCAUUGUAUUUUCAGAUCAGGUAAUCAUCGCUAAUAAGUAGGAAGAUAAUAGUUGUAAAAUUCUACCAGUGGAAAAUUGGUUAAGAUGUUUUCCCCAAAUACAGUGGUUGGCAUCUUCACUCCAGUAUACAGUGGAAACGAUGAUCACAGAGUGUAAAAACAAUUUAAGGUCUGAUUUGUAAUCUAUUCUCAAUCACUCUUGAUAAAGCAAAUCCACAGUCUGUUACUCUGAGAGGUUGGUUGUGCUGUGCUGCAAAGCUGAGAGUAUCUGCUGCUGGUGCAGCUUCCUCUUAGCACCAGGUGAGUUGCACCAGGCCCUGCUUGGUGCAGGUUCUGGAGAGAGAAAAUGUGUGGAUGUCUGUCUGUCUCUCCUCAUCUCAUCCUCUACAGCAUGGGUUGGUGGCUGUGGGGAGGUUGUUUCCUCAGGGAGCUCCUCUCCCACCCACCAUUUGGUCCUCUUUGUGUUGUGGUGUCAAAUACAGAAUAGUGCUUAGUGAGUUUGUUGUUUAAAAAUUCACUGUGGGGCUCAGAGAUGAGGAGGCCAAAAUUUUGGAGCAUGGCUGACCACACAACAUCACAUCAUCCCUAGGGAAACCAGGACUUAGAAAGAUUGUCAUGAUCACAUAGGUGAGGAGGGGGAAUAGGAUUAGAGAGGAAAUAGGGAGGGGCUUCCUCCUCACAGAAGUGAUUCCAGCUCACCCCAGAGAUCCCAGACUCUGAGCAUCACAGACUCCUGCUGGGGACCGGCUUAGAAUGAGGCAGAGCCAUUUCAGCUCUGUGAACAGAAUAAGCCCCUCAGGUACUGAGACACCUUGCCCAUGUGCUGCCAGGGAAUUCCCAGGAAAGUCUGCUAUGUCACCUGCACCCACCCCAUACUUCCCACUUGGGAAGCCCUUUGUGUUUGAGGGGUGAGCAGGGACAUGGAGGACAGCAUGUGUCUCAGAGGAUGUUGGCCAGACAACAUCCUGGAGAGACAAUCCUAUGGGUGGUGACCUGUGCCCAUGUGGAUCCUGCUCUCCAUGACUAUGCCUGGUCUUGGGUGUUGGCCUGCACCAAUUAGACUGAGUGAAAAUAGUGCAUGAACUGAGUAUCCUGAGACUCCUCCUCAAGCCUGGGUCCUGUGGACCCCAUGUCUCAGGACAGGUUUUUCCACAAUGACCUUAUGCUGCAUUACCUUCCAGGAUUUACAGGACAUGGGAGGUUGACUGAUUUGGGACAUACUGUUUCUCAACAGGACAGGAGUUAGAAACUGGGAAAAGCUAGAAAACAUGUAGGAUGUGAUUGUCAUUGCCCCAGGUCACACUUGCAAAGUUCACUUCUUGCUAACCACACAGGAAGAUGUCCAGGUCCUUCUCAACAUAGCACAGUGGGGGCAGGGCCUUAUGAAACUUUCAGAUGAGGCCCAGGGUGUAACAGCCUUAAAAAGGCCACACUGAACCCACGGCCAAGCAGUCCCAAUGUGUGCACACUGCAAAUUCUGUACUGCUGCAUCUGGAACCACAGGGAGACAUUGCUGUGUACUCUCUGCCCUCUGAGAGACCCACAUGUGAUUCUGCUCCUCUAGGCAACAGCCCCUGCCACCUGAACAUAGUGACCAAUAUGCAAAUACUGACAACUUAUCAAACAAAUGCGUUUUAUCCAUUUCACACAUCUUCCUCACAGAUUACAGUUUAGAAGAGUAUUGUGGUAUUGAUCUGUCUUCCAUUUCCAUUUUAUAUUGGGUCACUAUUUUUACUUCGUUGUACAUUUCCAGCCCCUUUUGCACACUCUGCUUAAGCCUUCAUCCCCGGAAACCCUGUCCUUUGUGUGAUUCACUAUGUUAACAUUUAAAAUUUAAAUUCACUAUGUUAACUUUGAAAAUUUAUAUCUACUUAACUUGUUAUGUCAGUAAAGUGAGUAAACAUCUUUCAUUAACUCAAAAUGUUUUUGAAAAUUCAGUGGUAUUUUCAGUGUUUUGUUUUUAAGAGAAAAUCAUGGUGCCUCUAAUUUCUCAGAGGCUUUCUUAUAUUUUAAUUCUGUCAUUUUCUGAAUAAUUCCUAUUCUUGUGAACAGCACUUUACUCUAGUCCGUUGAAGGUUUCCAUUUUUCAGACUGCUAAAGAAGCUUACAGUUGUGCUUGACCUUCAUGAUCUUUUGCUUUUAACAAAGGAGAGCUGCUCUGAAGAUGAGAGCAUGGGGCAAGUAGCACACUGGGCAGUGAAAUUCUCCUGUCUUCAGCCAGAGGAAGACACACAGUGCAUCUCUUUAGAUCUUUCCUUGUACCCAGUGGAGAAUUUCUUCAUCAAUCUCCUUAAUUGAAAGAGAACAUACAUUGCUCAGAAGAACAAAGAAAGCUUUCUUAGAUGCAGCUAUGUGAGGUAUGGUCCUCAUAGUGUGGACAGAUCUCCAUGACUCUUCUUCCUGCAUGUACAUUAGGACCUAUGACCUACAUCUCUCAACUUCCCCAUCAUAGCUCUGCUUUACUUCAAUUACCAAAAUAGUACUGAACACUUGAGAUCUGAAAAGAGGCUGAAAGUGUUUUCAAAGCAUAAAAAAAGAGAGAAGAAAAGACCUAAUGGUAUCUACAGAUAAGUUGGCAUGGAGUAUGUCAUUCAGCUAGUUGUGGCAGUGGUUUACAAUGCAGAUGUACAGAAGAUGAAAACUUCCAUGCUUCCCAUACAUGAAAGUCUUCUCAACAAUGUGGAAAUAAACUCAUGAUGAAGCUGGACAAAGUCUGACUUGAAUUUUAGGAUCUCAAAUGGAGCUAUUCUGUAAUUUUCUUCAGUUAAUAUUCAUAACAUGUAAUUAUUAUGAUAAAUGUUUACAUUAAAUAAGUGACUGGUGUUUUCCUACAGUGAAGGAGAGCUUUCCUCAUGUGGUGUGUAUUCAGGGUUUUCAUUUGUUGAACCAUUUUAUGGAAGUUCAAAUUGUGCCCUAAAAACCCUGAGAUAUGCAUAUUUAUAAUUGUAAUAAUUAUGUUUUUGAGUAAAACCUAUGAGAGGUGUCACUUUGGGGUUACUGUUACUCUGUUCCUUGAUGACAACAUCUCCUCCCCAGGCAGUGCAGUCCUGGCCCUACCACACCAGCUCUGCCUGAUUCAUCCUCCUCUCUCCCUCCCGGGCUCUGGUGUUACAUGCACCCAUUUAGGAUUGCCAUGUUUCUGCUGAUGGCUCAGGGACUUCUUGUGGAUCCCUUGAGAUGUUUUUGGAGAAGGACUUCUCAUGUUGUGUGAAACAUUUAAAUGACCACAUCUUCUGAGAAGAAUCAGAAGUGGAAAAUGUCUUCGCAACAUUUUUCUACCACUUGGAUCCAUACAGCCCACCCUGGUCAUCAUUUUCUCUGUCAACUUAUUAAAGAUGAAGACUACUGAAAUUAUUUCUACAAUUUGGUAAACUUUAGAUGCUUUCAAAGAUUUUAGUGUGCCAAGAAAAAAUUGUAAUGUGGCAUAUUAAAGUUCAAGAGGAUAAUACAGUGUCUCCAUAACCAGAAAGCCAGACUCUGGGCAAACAAUGACUUACGGAAGUGUAAAGGAAGAAUGGCCAAGAGACUCAAGGAAAAGCAAUGGAAGGGAACUAGACAUCACAGAGGAACUGGAGAAACAAUACAGGGCAGAGAAAAGAAGAAAGCAGCCUGGAAUUCUAACCGCAACUAUUGAGAAAGGAUCCUGCCUUUGCAAACACAAAGGAAAUUUGGACAGGCUUGGCAUCUCAGAGAGCAACAGCGGACUGAACAAGAAAAGGUAGCACCAAGAAAAUCCUGUGGUUAUUGUCAACUGCAAAUACAAUGUUGGAUUACA